rnacentral:rRNA from 1 species
GACGAACUUUGGCGGCGUGCUUAACACAUGCAAGUCGAACGGAAAGGCCCUGCUUUUGUGGGGUGCUCGAGUGGCGAACGGGUGAGUAACACGUGAGUAACCUGCCCUUGACUUUGGGAUAACUUCAGGAAACUGGGGCUAAUACCGGAUAGGAGCUCCUGCUGCAUGGUGGGGGUUGGAAAGUUUCGGCGGUUGGGGAUGGACUCGCGGCUUAUCAGCUUGUUGGUGGGGUAGUGGCUUACCAAGGCUUUGACGGGUAGCCGGCCUGAGAGGGUGACCGGCCACAUUGGGACUGAGAUACGGCCCAGACUCCUACGGGAGGCAGCAGUGGGGAAUAUUGCACAAUGGGCGGAAGCCUGAUGCAGCAACGCCGCGUGCGGGAUGACGGCCUUCGGGUUGUAAACCGCUUUCGCCUGUGACGAAGCGUGAGUGACGGUAAUGGGUAAAGAAGCACCGGCUAACUACGUGCCAGCAGCCGCGGUGAUACGUAGGGUGCGAGCGUUGUCCGGAUUUAUUGGGCGUAAAGGGCUCGUAGGUGGUUGAUCGCGUCGGAAGUGUAAUCUUGGGGCUUAACCCUGAGCGUGCUUUCGAUACGGGUUGACUUGAGGAAGGUAGGGGAGAAUGGAAUUCCUGGUGGAGCGGUGGAAUGCGCAGAUAUCAGGAGGAACACCAGUGGCGAAGGCGGUUCUCUGGGCCUUUCCUGACGCUGAGGAGCGAAAGCGUGGGGAGCGAACAGGCUUAGAUACCCUGUAGUCCACGCUGUAAACGGCGGGUACUAGGUGUGGGGUCCAUUCCACGGGUUCCGUGCCGUAGCUAACGCUUUAAGUACCCCGCCUGGGGAGUACGGCCGCAAGGCUAAAACUCAAAGGAAUUGACGGGGCCCCGCACAAGCGGCGGAGCAUGCGGAUUAAUUCGAUGCAACGCGUAGAACCUUACCUGGGUUUGACAUGGAUCGGGAGUGCUCAGAGAUGGGUGUGCCUCUUUUGGGGUCGGUUCACAGGUGGUGCAUGGCUGUCGUCAGCUCGUGUCGUGAGAUGUUGGGUUAAGUCCCGCAACGAGCGCAACCCUUGUUCACUGUUGCCAGCACGUUAUGGUGGGGACUCAGUGGAGACCGCCGGGGUCAACUCGGAGGAAGGUGGGGAUGACGUCAAGUCAUCAUGCCCCUUAUGUCCAGGGCUUCACGCAUGCUACAAUGGCUGGUACAGAGAGUGGCGAGCCUGUGAGGGUGAGCGAAUCUCGGAAAGCCGGUCUCAGUUCGGAUUGGGGUCUGCAACUCGACCUCAUGAAGUCGGAGUCGCUAGUAAUCGCAGAUCAGCAACGCUGCGGUGAAUACGUUCCCGGGGCUU